UGGCUCAGACGGUAAAGCGUCUGCCUACAAUGCAGGAGACCCGGGUUCGAUCCCUGG
rnacentral:tRNA from 1 species